rnacentral:rRNA from 1 species
AUUGAACGCUGGCGGCAGGCCUAACACAUGCAAGUCGAGCGCGCGGCGGACGGGUGAGUAAUGUCUGGGAAACUGCCUGAUGGAGGGGGAUAACUACUGGAAACGGUAGCUAAUACCGCAUACCAUCAGAUGUGCCCAGAUGGGAUUAGCUCGUAGGUGGGGUAACGGCUCACCUAGGCGACGAUCCCUAUCUGGUCUGAGAGGAUGACCAGCAAAAAUGGGACUGAGACACGGUCAGGCAUCCUACGGGAGUCAGCAGUGGGGAAUGUUGCACAAGGGGGGCAAGCCUGAUGCAGACAUCAGGGGUGUGUGAAGAAGGCCUUCGGGUUGUAAAGCACUUGGAGCGGGGAGGCGGUACCUGCAGAAUAAGCACAGGCUAACUCAGUGCCACCAGCCGCGGUAAUAC